CGGUGGGGUCGUUCUAGGCAGGCCCGCGGAAAGUCAAAGGCCGUUUGAAAACGUUUUUUUUCUAAAUGUUUCGAAAUUAUUUUCCUCAGAAUUGAAGCGUUCGGCUUUUUUAAUCGUCUGUACUCUUCGCAGUGGUGACACAGAGGAGGCGGUUGGUCGUAAAGUCCAAAGUCUUGAGACGUGUCUUUGACUUUGUUUCUUAUGCUCGGUUUUAUUUGUUCCGAAGGAGGUUGAAAGGGGGAGGGGAGGGGAGGAAGAGAAAUUUCCGGCCAAGAUCGGAGUGCUGCGAAUUGAGGGCUGAAAACACUCGGCUGGGCCCUGCAGUGAGAUUGUGAAUGGGAGACGGCAGCCUGGGACUCGCGUGAGGAUUGUGGGGCCCAUCCCUCCCUCCACCACAACACACUGGAGCGAGCGCUGACAUCAACACUCGUGCAGGCCUCUAUUGGAAUAAAUACAUGCCGUGGUGGAGCAGUAUGGAAUCGACAGUCGAUGAUGAUGCAGUGGAUGUUUGAAUGAGGUGACGGCAGCGGGAAGGAGAAACGAUGCCCAAGAGUGGGUGUUCUAAAACACCACUUUCAGAAGGUUACCCACUCAACAUCGAUAUGGUGGAAAAACAAUCCGGGAAGAA